rnacentral:ncRNA from 1 species
CGUCAUUGAGGGCAAAAAGGCUCUUGUCACACCUCUCUAUAGCCCAUAGAGAGGUAUCUGAGAUGUUGGGUACGCCGUCCAACCAUUGACC